GAUGAAGAACGUAGCAAAAUGCGAUACUUGGUGUGAAUUGCAGAAUCCCGUGAACCAUCGAGUUUUUGAACGCAAGUUGCGCCCAAAGCCUUUUGGCCGAGGGCACGUCUGCCUGGGCGUCACGCAUCGCGUCGCCCCCCACAAUUCUUCGUAAAGGGAACAUGUGUUUUGGGGGCGGAUAUUGGUCUCCCGUGCUCAUGGCGUGGUUGGCCGAAAUAGGAGUCCUUUCGAUGGACGCACGAACUAGUGGUGGUCGUAAAAACCCUCGUCUUUUGUUUCGUGCUUUUGCUCGCAAGGUAAACUCUUUAAAAACCCCAAUGUGUCGUCUCUUGACGACGCUUCGACCGCGACCCCAGGUCAGGCGGGACUACCCGCUGAGUUUAAGCAUAUCAAUAAGCGGAGGA
rnacentral:misc_RNA from 1 species